rnacentral:lncRNA from 1 species
AUUUUUUGAUGUCAAUUGGCCAUUGGGAACCUUAAAUUCCUUCUCAUAAUAUCAUAGAAUUAUUGGUUUUUAGGAGAGUUAUGAUAAUAAUAUAUUGUUUUCAUUUUUCCCUUUUUGUAACUUGAAGUGAUUUGAGUCCACAUCAAUACGGUGUAUGUUAAUGUCUUCUGAGGAUGGAGGAUAAUAAUUUCUCUGGAUGCUAAAUAUCUAUUGUAGAUUUAACCAAUUCUAAGCCACAGUUGUAUGUUAUGUUCAGAUAAGUUGCUGGUGCAUGGGGAUUUCAUGGAUAUGUUUUGAUUACCAGUUAUAGUUUGAUUCUUAUUUUGGAAUGCUUCUACAAAGGUUGUAUUUAGCGGCAGAGAUGUUGACAUUCUAAAUAUCUGGUCAAUGGGAAUGUCUUCAUAUUUGAGGGAAACCGAGCGUAUAAACUCAACCAAUUAAAAGAUGAUACAUUAUGUAAAACCAUGGGGUCCAUUCUAAAACCAUGUUGAAUCCCACCAAAACUGUAAUAUAUUAAUUUUCUGUUUGUUGAGAAUAUAUACACUCAAGUGUGUAUAAGAAAUUUUCUAAGUCUAAAUGGUCAAUCUUCCUUGUUGCAGUGAGAGAAUGAAAUUUUCUAAAUCUAAAUGGUCAAUCUUCCUUGUUGCAGUGAGAGAAUGAUCGGUGAUUUCAAAAUAGUUUAUAUAUGUGUGGUCAAUAUUCUAUUGUGGAAGUAACUGAUUUGUUUAAGAUCUUCGUGUAUGAACUUAGAUUAUCAUGUAGUCAUAACUCAUAACCCUUUUGUCCACGGUGGACAAGGUUUGUGCAAGAUUUCUUGCAUAUAUGCAUUAAUGCCUUUGAAGGUAGAUAUAAUAUUAUAUUUGUUAGCACAUUUUUAAAAGUAUGAGAUAUUUACUUUUUAUUAUUUCAUAUGCAUUUCAUUCGAAUAUAAAUAAACAUGGGUGAUUAUUAAUCUCAAUCCUAUAAAAGAAAAUAGGCUCUCUCUAGAGCAACCCCCAGGUGGGGAAGACGUUGGCUGAAAGACUAAAAAGAUAAAGUAUAAGAAAUCUUUUGUUGAUGAUUCUGUAAGGAUG